AGAAGCAAAACAAGGUUUAAAAUGCAGUUAGAAAGAAAGAGUGCAAACCUUUUUUUCAAUGCUAUACCUGUACUUGGCUUCCUUCACAUGAUACAUUACACAUUUUCAAUUGGUUUAUUGCAUAUUUAUUCAAACUGAUUUAAAACAAAAAAUACAUAUUUACAAAAAAUUAUAGAUAGUUAAUAAAGGAGUACGCAACAAUACAACGAACGAGACACAAAGACAUACUAAAGUUGCGAAAUUCCUAACAUUCGUGGUUCCAUAAGUGAUGUAGAGUGAGAAAAACUAACGAUGAUCAGAAGUGCAAAGAGGUUUUCCAGUUGGGAAUGUUGACAAUGUUGGCAGUCCAAUUAAUUUUGCUCAGAAGUAGUUAUUUUACCAAGGGUGUCCAAUAACGCGACCAUGACCCAAGCCUACGAUUGGUCCGACAGGUCCGACGGGUCCCACAACAACAGUUGAGGCAAGACCGGGGACGAUGGCUGGUCCUAUGAUGCUUGGGUAGGCAGCAGCGAUGCACACCAA